UUGCAGGCCGGAGCGCUACUCCAUUUCAAUAGCCAUCCGGACCAGARAAAAAGGAGGAAAAUAUUUGCCGCCGGCCGGCGGUGCGGCAGUGUGGAGACCUGCCGUAAUCCUGUCAGGGUUUCGCUCUCUGGCAGGGAGGUACGUGAGCAGAGGCGAGCGUACUACGGCCUGAGCCCAUGUCU
rnacentral:ncRNA from 1 species